AUGCACUUUAAUUAUCAGGUAUGUCACUAUGGAAGAACUAGAGCAAGUCCUCCACGAAUACGGCUUACAUGGUGAAUUUUAAUCUUUCCAGUACAACCAUAUCUCACUCCCUCUGUCCAGUCGUGCAGAAGACAUCUUCAUUAACCGGUAACAGAUGAAAUAAUUUGAUGUCGAGUUUCCCGUGUAGAAAGGCGAAAAUGCUACAAGUGGAGGAUAGAUAACAACUCAAGACACAUGGUAUGAGGGUGCAGGUAAACUGUACAUAUGCAUCUGGAAAAAGUUAACAGUUUUGUAUUCGAUUUUUUAUGUUUUUCCAGUGUAAGGCAUAUGUUGCAUAAGCAUGUAAAUGGUACAAAUUAUUUGGUUUUGGAUAGUAAACUUUGAGUUUUACAGGAAAAAUCAAGAAAAUGUGUCACUCAUCUAUUC
rnacentral:sRNA from 1 species